GGCAGCCGGGUCGGACUUGAUGUUUGAAAUACUGACCGACAGCUCAGAUUUAACUGUCUGUAGUUCUGUUUUGAUGGGUGUUAAACUUUGACUCAAAGCCGCCAGGAGCUGGGUCUUUAAAAUAACCGCUGUCUCGUUACAGAGUGAAAGUAGCAGUUCCUCCUUAAGGUCAGAGAUUGCAGCAUCUGAGGACCUCUUCAAAAGAAGACGUAGUUGAUGAAGGCGUUCUGGAGCAGGACCAGAAAGACCACGACCAAGCAGCCUUGAGAUCUUAGGCAGCGUCUCCCUCAGGUCCCUCUCUAUCUCCCCACACAUCCACCAAUCACUGGAACACAUCUCCAAAGUUCUGCCGGGCCAGCUCAGCUUCCCCUCAGAAGAAGUGGUGCCACCUGCCAGAUGAAGGAGCCUUUUGAGAGGCAGCUGGCAUCGUGAUUGGACUGUACAUUGGUCUGUUCCAAUCCAGCUUCAGCUCCAGAGACGGCAGGCGGGACGAGUCAACGGAGGCCGGAUGGACGAAGGCAUGCAGCUGAGUACAAUCCAGAAAACAACAGAGGAGGAGUGCAGCGGCCCAGAGCCAGAACAAACAGAGUAUGUCUCUUAGAAAACAUCAUAGUAUAGCCUUUGAUAUGAAAAAAACGCCAUAAUAUACAUCAUAUAUUGUACAAAUAACAAGUCAAAGGAAAGAGACAUACAUUAUAGAAUUGUAGUAAUUGUGGGCUGACUGAUUUACUGAUUAUCAGUAUUUUAUUUUUUACUGAUUUACGGUAAUAAAUAAAUUUAAAAAUGGC